UUAAACGGCCGCGGUACCCUAACCGUGCAAAGGUAGCAUAAUCACUUGUCCCCUAAAUAGGGACUAGAAUGAACGGUCAAAUGAGGACUAAACUGUCUCUUAUAUUCAACCAAUAAAACUGAUCUCUUAGUCCAAAAGCUGAGAUAUAAACAUAAGACGAGAAGACCCUGUGGAGCUUCUAAACCAGACUCAUUAACCAUGCCCAUCUGGUUUUUAGUUGGGGCGACUUCGGAGUACAAAAAAACCUCCGACACAGAGUAAUCCUCUACACCUAGAUUAACACACCAAAAUAAUAAUACCUGAUCCAGUAGUUAUUCAACUAUCUGAUUAAUGAACCAAGUUACCCCAGGGAUAACAGCGCCAUCCUCUUCUAGAGUCCAUAUCGACAAGAGGGUUUACGACCUCGAUGUUGGAUCAGGACACCCAAAUAGUGCAGCCGCUAUUAAUGGUUCGUUUGUUCAACGAUAAAAGUCCUACGUGAUCU
rnacentral:rRNA from 1 species